UUUCUGUCAAGUUUUUAGAAAAGAAAAACUGAAACCCAUUUUAUCAAUAACGUUCCUCUCUCUAGAACUCCAAACCCUUACUUUCUCUGCCUUUUCUCUAACCUCCUCACUCACUGAGCUAUUGCAUGUUGGAUUAGGUGGUGCUCAAGUGACCGCGGCGUAGAGAGCUUCGCAAACAUCCAAUUAGAUUUUCGAUCUUCACCGAUGGGAGCAGAUGUUCUUGAGGAGGUUCCAGUGGAACAAGUGCUGGGAGACGCUGACGCUGCGACUUAGUUCUUUUUAGGAUUUCAUUUAGUUAUUUUUAUGUUAUUUGGAGACGCUUAUUAGAUUAUUUUGAAAUACUUUAUUGUGGUUAAGAGUUUUAAUUACACCACUCUGGAUGACUGUAAUCCUCUGAUUAAUCGUAAGUUAUACCCCUAGCUGUUCUCUUUA